UACAGAGGUCUCAAGCGUUGUUCGGAUUCAUUGGGCGUAAAGGGUGCGUAGGCGGCGCGGUAAGUCGGGUGUGAAAUCUCGGAGCUUAACUCCGAAACUGCAUUCGAUACUGCCGUGCUUGAGGACUGGAGAGGAGACGUGGAAUUUACGGUGUAGCGGUGAAAUGCGUAGAUAUCGUAAGGAAGACCAGUGGCGAAGGCGGGUCUCUGGACAGUUCCGUGA
rnacentral:rRNA from 1 species